AGUGAACGCUGGCGGUAGACCUAACACAUGCAAGUCGAACGGCAGCACAGUAAGAGCUUGCUCUUACGGGUGGCGAGUGGCGGACGGGUGAGGAGUACAUCGGAAUCUACUUUUUCGUGGGGGAUAACGUAGGGAAACUUACGCUAAUACCGCAUACGACCUACGGGUGAAAGCAGGGGAUCUUCGGACCUUGCGCGAUUGAAUGAGCCGAUGUCGGAUUAGCUAGUUGGCGGGGUAAAGGCCCACCAAGGCGACGAUCCGUAGCUGGUCUGAGGGGAUGAUCAGCCACACUGGAACUGAGACACGGUCCAGACUCCUACGGGAGGCAGCAGUGGGGAAUAUUGGACAAUGGGCGCAAGCCUGAUCCAGCCAUACCGCGUGGGUGAAGAAGGCCUUCGGGUUGUAAAGCCCUUUUGUUGGGAAAGAAAAGCAGCAGGUUAAUACCCCGCUGUUCUGACGGUACCCAAAGAAUAAGCACCGGCUAACUUCGUG
rnacentral:rRNA from 1 species